rnacentral:misc_RNA from 1 species
CUUAUUCUGGAUGCAACAAAAUAAUUUCUAACUUCCGGUAUAACAACAUACUUGUCCACUGCAGAUAUUCUUUAGUUUCCAAUGAAGUAUUGUUUCUGUGUUGAAUAAACGUGACGUAAUGAUAAACAAUAAUUAAUACAAACAUCAGAAACAUAGGUUGCUGAUAGUUUAUACUCCAAUUCUCAAUUUUUGUUUUUCAUUGAUUCUGGAAACUGUAUUUAAGUGUUUUUUAGAAAUAAAAUGAAGUUUAAUUCAUAUACUGGUAUAACCUGGUCUUUAUUAGAAUUAGAAGGUCUUUUAGAAGAUGAAAAUUCACAAGUACAUUAUGAACGUAUGAAUAAACAUCUUGGAUUACAUCCAUUUCAUUUGAAUGAUCUUAGUGCAGCAUUAAAUGAAAUAUUGAGUUCUGGUUUGAACACAUAUGAUACAGAGUUACAAGGUUUUCUUUUAGCUUAUAAAAAUCCCAAAUUACUGACUACUUAUGGAGACUUAUUUUAUGACUCAUAUUAUAUUCAUGUCAAUAUUGAAGCAGACUUUUAUGUAUUUAGACCGCAAGUUGGGAAUUUGUUAAAAGGUAUUGUUCAUAAAAAGGGAGUUAACUACAUCGGUGUGCUUAUGCACAAAACUUUUAACGUAUCUAUUCUCAGACCGGAAAAUGCUGAAAAAUGGCCAGGCAAUAUGGUAAAUAUAGGUCAAGAAGUUAGAUUUACAGUUACGCAUUUGGAUUUUAAUAGUAGAUUACCAUUCAUUCGAGGGGUAUUCAAUCAAGCCGACUAUCUACAAGGUUGUAAAUUACCUUUGCACAAAACUUCUAACGGAUCAUUUUAUGAAGCUAAUGAAAGCGAUGAUACAGAUAGUUCGAGUGUAGUAAAACGUAAAUCUUUGAAUAAGAAAAAGAGAAAGUCGAAAGAAAUAAAUAAACAAGUAUUUUCGGAAGAACAUGUUACAAAUUUGAAAAGAAGUUUUAGCAGCGAAGAUACAACAAAUGAAUAUAAUGAAAAGCGUUCUAAGAAAAAGUUGAAAAAAUCUGAAGAAUCAACGAAUGAAACAGAAAAGGAGAAAAAACAUUUUGAUAUUUCUUACCACGAUGCUGAUUAUUUAAAUGAUGAUGAAACGUCUAUUAAGAAAAAGAAAAAACGUGAUAAAAGUUUGAAAAGAAAAUCUGCAGAAGUGGUAUCCGAGAUAGCGGAUUCAGAGUUUGAUUAUAGUAACGUUAAAGUUAAAUUAGAAAAGAAUAUUUCCAAUUCUGAAAGUGAAUCAAAUGUUCAUGUGAAAAAAUCUAAAAAGCAUUCUAAAAAGUCUAAAUAUGCUAUUGAUGAAAGCCUAAAUGGAAGCGUAUAUUCCGAAGUACAAGAAUUAGAAAAUGAAAAUCAUUAUGAUAAUGAAUUUAGUACACCAAUUAAAUCAGAGAAAUUGCCCAAGUUAAAUAAUAUCAAAGAAGAAUCUACAAAUCAUAAACGAAAAUCAUCUAAUAAACGAAUAAAAAAAUCUUUAUCAAAUUCUGAAUCUGAAUUUAGUGAUAAUGUUACAAUUAAAAUGGAAAAAUCUAGCAAGUCAGAAAACACUCAAGGAAGUAGUAGUAAAGAACAAAAAAUCAAGGUUAAAUCAGAAAAAUCUACGUUUAAUAACGAAACUGACGGUAAAAUAAGUUCAAAGAAGAAACAUAAAAGAAAACGUGCUACAACUCCAGAAGUAGAAGACUAUGAACUUGUCCCAAUAAAAAAAGAAAAAUUAGGUAAUUAUGAAGUAUCACCAAGCAAGAAAUCUUCGAAAAAAAAGAAUUUUAAUAAUGAUAAUUAUGAUAGCUUCAAUGAGGAAUCUGAAAUAAAGCAUGAAAAUAUUACUAAGAAAUCGCACAAAAAAUCUAAAGUAAAUGAUUCAUCCAUAGAACUAGGAGAAACACAGAUAAAAACAGAAAAGCAUAGGAUAAAAAAUGAAUUUAUUAAACAAGAUGUAGAAUAUUUAUUUUCAAAUGAACCAACCCACAGUAAGUCUCGCAAGAAACGUUCUAAACAUGAAGUUAACAAUGAAGAUGUAAAACCUUUUAAAAACAGUGAAUUAGAUAAUUCUAUAUCAUAUGAAAAUGAUAUUUAUUCAUCUCCUAAAAACUGUUCGAAAAAAUUUCAAGAAGAAAAUUUCGUAUUUUCACCUAGCAAUGUAAGAAUUAAAAUUGAAAGAUCGUCGUCCUUUGAAGAUUAGAAAGUAUGUAUGUGUGUAUGUAUAUAAGUAUGAAUUUGUAUAUAAUAUUACAAUAACUAUAUAUAUAACAAUAUAACUGGACCAUUUUAAUUGUACAUUCAAACUAUAUAUAUCCUAUAUAUAUAUAUAUUAAGGUAGCCUCUAUUUUGGGUAUUUUUCAAUUUUUAUGUGCUCAGAGACUCCUAUAAUAUGAAAUUAAUAAAAAAAAAAUAUCCCUCAAGUUUCAAGACCCUAUCUCAAUUUUAACCUUUGACGCACAGUGAUAUAAGUUUUCCGUCUAAAUAACAUGUGCUUUUCGGCAUCGAAUGAUCAAUUUUUUAUUCAAGAUUUUUAACUAUUAUAAUUGGAAGCUUGAUGAAAGAUUAUGAAAGAAACUUUCUAUUUAACGUUACAAUAAAAUUAAAUUUAAAAGUGUGAUUUUACAUUAUAAAAUAUAAUAAUUAAGAAAUAAGAAAAGUCCAAAUAUUGCGAGUUACUAAUAACAAUAAAGUCUAUUUAAUAUUAUAAGAGAAUUUAAAAUUGAAUUUAAAAUUAUAUACAAAAAAAAACCUGGUGUGUGUCCUUAUGUACACACGUAAGAAGUUAUACUUCUUUUACGUAACAAAACAUUUUUUUUCACAGCCUAUAUGCUUUACAACGUUCCGCGUUUGUUUGUGAUGGAUACUUUCUUUUAAAUACAUUUUUCUAACAAUA